UAGGGAAUCUUCCACAAUGGACGCAAGUCUGAUGGAGCAACGCCGCGUGAGUGAAGAAGGUUUUCGGAUCGUAAAGCUCUGUUGUUGGUGAAGAAGGAUAGAGGCAGUAACUGGUCUUUAUUUGACGGUAAUCAACCAGAAAGUCACGGCUAACUACGUGCCAGCAGCCGCGGUAAUACGUAGGUGGCAAGCGUUGUCCGGAUUUAUUGGGCGUAAAGCGAGCGCAGGCGGAAUGAUAAGUCUGAUGUGAAAGCCCACGGCUCAACCGUGGAACUGCAUCGGAAACUGUCAUUCUUGAGUGCAGAAGAGGAGAGUGGAAUUCCAUGUGUAGCGGUGGAAUGCGUAGAUAUAUGGACGAACACCAGUGGCGAAGGCGGCUCUCUGGUCUGCAACUGACGCUGAGGCUCGAAAGCAUGGGUAGCGAACAGG
rnacentral:rRNA from 1 species